UGAAAAGGACAGAAAGGAAAGACCUCAGU
rnacentral:piRNA from 1 species